rnacentral:rRNA from 1 species
CCUACGGGGUGCAGCAGUGGGGAAUAUUGCACAAUGGGGGAAACCCUGACGCAGCGACGCCGCGUGAGUGAAGAAGUCUUUCGGUACGUAAAGUUCUAUUAGCAGGGAAGAAAUAAAGACCUUUCCUGUCUGGUCGGUCCCUGCUUACGACGUGCCGGCUAACUCCGUGCUAGGAGCCGCGCAAAUACGUUGGGGGCAUGCGUUGUCCGGAUUUAGUGGGGGUAAAGGGAGAGUAGCCGGGAGGGCAAGUCUGGCGUGAAAUCCCACGGCUUAACCAUGGAACUGCUUUGGAAACUGUGGGGCUGGAGUACAGGAGAGGUAGGCGGAAUUCCUAGUGUAGCGGUGAAAUGCGUAGAUAUUAGGAGGAACACCAGUGGCGAAGGCGGCUUGCUGGACGAUAACUGACGGUGAGGCGCGAAAGCGUGGGGAGCAAACAGGAUUAGAUACCCGGGUAGUC